GCUUCGAAGUGUUUCCACAUGUUAGACUGCAAAUCUGAAGUAGUAGACUAACGUCUACCGGGGCUU
rnacentral:tRNA from 1 species